rnacentral:rRNA from 1 species
AUUGAACGCUGGCGGCAGGCUUAACACAUGCAAGUCGCACGAGUGGCGGACGGGUGAGUAAUGCUUGGGAAUCUCGCCAAUGGAGGGGGAUAACUACGGGAAACGGUAGCUAAUACCGCGUACCAUAGGAUGAGCCCCAGUGGGAUUAGGUUGUUGGUGCGGUAAAGGCUCACCAAGCAGACGAUCCCUAGCUGGUCUGAGAGGAGGACCAUCAACACUGGAGCUGAGACACGGCCCAGACUCCUACGGGAGGCAAGAGUGGGGAAUAUUGCGCAAUGGGGGCAACCUGAAGCAGCCAUGCCGCGUGAAUGAUGAAGGGCUUCGGGUUGGAAAGUACUUUCGGUGGCGAGGCGUUAACUACAGAAGAAGCACCGGCUAACUCCGUGCCAGCAGCCGCGGUAAUAC